GACGAGGGGUCCAAGCGUUGUUCGGAAUUAUUGGGCGUAAAGCGGGUGUAGGUGGCUCUAUAAGUCAGAAGUGAAAGCCCCGGGCUUAACCCGGGAAGUGCUUUUGAUACUGCAGAGCUUGAAUGUGGGAGAGGGUAGUGGAAUUCCAGGUGUAGUGGUGAAAUUCGUAGAUAUUCGGAAGAACACCAGUGGCGAAGGCGGCUCACUGGCCCGGUACUGACGCUGAGGUGCGAAAGCGUGGGGAGCGAACAGG
rnacentral:rRNA from 1 species